rnacentral:rRNA from 1 species
AGUAGGGAAGAAGAAAGUGACGGUACCUACAGAAGAAGCGACGGCUAAAUACGUGCCAGCAGCCGCGGUAAUACGUAUGUCGCAAGCGUUAUCCGGAAUUAUUGGGCUUAAAGGGCAUCUAGGCGGUUUUUCAAGUCAGGGGUGAAAACUUAUGGCUCAACUAUAAGCUUGCCUUUGAAACUGAAAGACUAGAGUACUGGAAAGGUGGGUGGAACUACACGAGUAGAGGUGAAAUUCGUAGAUAUGUGUAGGAAUGCCGAUGAUGAAGAUAACUCACUGGACAGAAACUGACGCUGAAGUGCGAAAGCUAGGGGAGCAAACAGGAUUAGAUACCCUGGUAGUCCUAGCUGUAAACGAUGAUCACUGGGUGUGGGGAUGAAUAGUCUCUGUGCCGAAGCAAAAGCGAUAAGUGAUCCGCCUGGGGAGUACGUACGCAAGUAUGAAACUCAAAGGAAAUUGACGGA